rnacentral:snoRNA from 1 species
UGAUGAUGGUGAGGGAAAUUUCUGAGCAUAGCCUUAAAUCUCUCCCAAGUUUGGUAGAGAUUCUCUUUGUCUUUCAGUCUAAAACUCAAGAUCUCACUCCACAAGUA